rnacentral:rRNA from 1 species
ACUGGGCGUAAAGCGCACGUAGGCGGCCAUUCAAGUCAGAGGUGAAAGCCCGGGGCUCAACCCCGGAACUGCCUUUGAAACUAGAUGGCUUGAAUCUUGGAGAGGCGAGUGGAAUUCCGAGUGUAGAGGUGAAAUUCGUAGAUAUUCGGAAGAACACCAGUGGCGAAGGCGACUCGCUGGACAAGUAUUGACGCUGAGGUGCGAAAGCGUGGGGAGCAAACAGAAUUAGAUACCCUGGUAGUCCACGCCGUAAACGAUGAUAACUAGCUGUCCGGGUUCAUGGAACUUGGGUGGCGCAGCUAACGCAUUAAGUUAUCCGCCUGGGGAGUACGGUCGCAAGAUUAAAACUCAAAGGAAUUGACGGGGGCCUGCACAAGCGGUGGAGCAUGUGGUUUAAUUCGAAGCAACGCGCAGAACCUUACCAGCGUAUGACAUGGCUAGUAUGAUUUCCAGAGAUGGAUUUCUUCAGUUCGGCUGGGUAGCACACACGUGCUGCAUGGCUGUCGUCAGCUCGUCUCGUGAGAUGUUGGGUUAAGUCCCGCUACGAGCGCAACCCUCGUCUUCAGUUGCCAUCAUUCAGUUGUGCACUCCUAAAGAAACCGUCCGGUGAUAAGCUCGGAGGAACGGUGGGGAUGACGUCAAGUCCUCAUGGCCCUUACACGCUGGGCUACACACGUGCUACAAUGGCGGUGACAGUGAGCAGCUAGAUCGCGAGAUCAUGCUAAUCUCAAAAAGCCGUCUCAGUUCG